rnacentral:rRNA from 1 species
GUCUACGGGGGGCAGCAGUGAGGAAUAUUGGUCAAUGGCCGGGAGGCUGAACCAGCCAAGUCGCGUGAGGGAAGACGGCCCUACGGGUUGUAAACCUCUUUUGUCAGGGAGCAAGGUGCAGGUCGGGACCUGCUGUGAGAGUACCUGAAGAAAAAGCAUCGGCUAACUCCGUGCCAGCAGCCGCGGUAAUACGGAGGAUGCGAGCGUUAUCCGGAUUUAUUGGGUUUAAAGGGUGCGCAGGCGGAUUUUUAAGUCAGCGGUCACAUCGUGGGGCUCAACCCCAUCCAGCCGUUGAAACUGGGGAU